CCCUUAGAUGUUCUGGGCCGCACGCGCGUUACACUGAUGCAUUCAACGAGCCUAUAACCUUGGCCGAGAGGCCUGGGCAAUCUUGUUAACGUGCAUCGUGAUAGGGAUAGAUUAUUGAAAUUAUUAAUCUUGAACGAGGAAUUCCUAGUAAACGCAGAUCAUCAAUCUGCAUUGAUUACGUCCCUGCCCUUUGUACACACCGCCCGUCGCACCUACCGAUUGGAUGGUCCGGUGAAGCCUCGGGAUUGUGGUUCUUGCCGCUUUAUUGUGGCGUGACCGCGAGAACUUGUCUAAACCUUAUCAUCUAGAGGAAGGUGAAGUCGUAACA
rnacentral:rRNA from 1 species